GGCGUAAGGGCUCGCAGGUGGUUUCUUAAGUCUGAUGUGAAAGCCCCCGGCUCAACCGUGGAGGGUCAUUGGAAACUGGGAGACUUGAGUGCAGAAGAGGAGAGUGGAAUUCCACGUGUAGCGGUGAAAUGCGUAGAGAUGUGGAGGAACACCAGUGGCGAAGGCGACUCUCUGGUCUGUAACUGACACUGAGGAGCGAAAGCGUGGGGAGCGAACAGGAUUAGAUACCCUGGUAGUCCACGCCGUAAACGAUGAGUGCUAAGUGUUAGAGGGUUUCCGCCCCUUAGUGCUGAAGUUAACGCAUUAAGCACUCCGCCUGGGGAGUACGGCCGCAAGGCUGAAACUCAAAGGAAUUGACGGGGGCCCGCACAAGCGGUGGAGCAUGUGGUUUAAUUCGAAGCAACGCGAAGAACCUUACCAGGUCUUGACAUCCUCUGACAACCCUAGAGAUAGGGCUUCUCCUUCGGGAACAGAGUGACAGGUGGUGCAUGGUUGUCGUCAGCUCGUGUCGUGAGAUGUUGGGUUAAGUCCCGCAACGAGCGCAACCCUUGAUCUUAGUUGCCAUCAU
rnacentral:rRNA from 1 species